rnacentral:misc_RNA from 1 species
GUCCAUACAUAGGGUUCCCGAUACACCUCUCACUACCAUUGCGAGGCAUAGACUUUCCAUUACCACGAACAGAUUCAACCGGCCAAGCCUUGGCAACUGAACCAUCUGUAUUAAGAAGAGCCAUCAGAUGCCUUGACGACCCCAUCCUCUGAAUCAUCUGAAACAUCCGUUUGGAACUACACGAGUUAGCAUCACAUUGGUUUCUGUACUCUUCAUGUACUACAGACACAGUGUUCGUG